rnacentral:rRNA from 1 species
UCCGUAGGGUGCGAGCGUUGUCCGGAAUUACUGGGCGUAAAGAGCUCGUAGGUGGUUUGUCGCGUUGUUCGUGAAAACUCACAACUCAAUUGUGGGCGUGCGGGCGAUACGGGCAGACUGGAGUACUGCAGGGGAGACUGGAAUUCCUGGUGUAGCGGUGGAAUGCGCAGAUAUCAGGAGGAACACCAACGGCGAAGGCAGCUCGCUGGGACGGUACUGACGCUGAGGCGCGAAAGCGUGGGGAGCGAACAGG